CUCCUUUGCUUCUACAAGCUA
rnacentral:miRNA from 1 species